UACGUAGGGUGCGAGCGUUGUCCGGAAUUAUUGGGCGUAAAGAGCUUGUAGGCGGUUUGUCGCGUCUGCCGUGAAAUCCGAGGCUCAACCUCGGACUUGCGGUGGGUACGGGCAGACUAGAGUGUGGUAGGGGAGACUGGAAUUCCUGGUGUAGCGGUGAAAUGCGCAGAUAUCAGGAGGAACACCGAUGGCGAAGGCAGGUCUCUGGGCCACUACUGACGCUGAGAAGCGAAAGCGUGGGGAGCGAACGGG
rnacentral:rRNA from 1 species